AAACGCGAAGGUGGGCGCCGCCAUCUUGCCUGAAAACAUACAAAAUACCGGAAGCGCGCGGGGAUCACGUGACCACCUCCAGCCAAUAGCGGCGAAGCAUGGGUCCCAGCCAUUCUAGGGGAUAUGCUUCGGAUACACGCCACGCGGUCCCGUACUGCCGCGUGUGUUUUGCGCGCUCGUGAAAGUCGCUUUGAAGUUCGACAAAAUGCCGCAUGCAUGUGAUGUUGCCAGAUGCCCGAAUGGUGCACGCCACCAGCGCACGCCGCCGCGCAGGAAAGACGGCCAACGUUGGACAUGGCAACAGUGACGUGA
rnacentral:lncRNA from 1 species